rnacentral:rRNA from 1 species
GAUUAGAGUUUGAUCCUGGCUCAGGAUGAACGCUAGCUACAGGCUUAACACAUGCAAGUCGAGGGGCAGCAUUUUAGUUUGCUUGCAAACUAAAGAUGGCGACCGGCGCACGGGUGAGUAACACGUAUCCAACCUGCCGAUAACUCGGGGAUAGCCUUUCGAAAGAAAGAUUAAUAUCCGAUAGUAUAUUAAAACCGCAUGGUUUUACUAUUAAAGAAUUUCGGUUAUCGAUGGGGAUGCGUUCCAUUAGUUUGUUGGCGGGGUAACAGCCCACCAAGACUACGAUGGAUAGGGGUUCUGAGAGGAAGGUCCCCCACAUUGGAACUGAGACACGGUCCAAACUCCUACGGGAGGCAGCAGUGAGGAAUAUUGGUCAAUGGACGAGAGUCUGAACCAGCCAAGUAGCGUGAAGGAUGACUGCCCUAUGGGUUGUAAACUUCUUUUAUAUGGGAAUAAAGUAUUCCACGUGUGGAAUUUUGUAUGUACCAUAUGAAUAAGGAUCGGCUAACUCCGUGCCAGCAGCCGCGGUAAUACGGAGGAUCCGAGCGUUAUCCGGAUUUAUUGGGUUUAAAGGGAGCGUAGGUGGAUUGUUAAGUCAGUUGUGAAAGUUUGCGGCUCAACCGUAAAAUUGCAGUUGAAACUGGCAGUCUUGAGUACAGUAGAGGUGGGCGGAAUUCGUGGUGUAGCGGUGAAAUGCUUAGAUAUCACGAAGAACUCCGAUUGCGAAGGCAGCUCACUAGACUGCAACUGACACUGAUGCUCGAAAGUGUGGGUAUCAAACAGGAUUAGAUACCCUGGUAGUCCACACAGUAAACGAUGAAUACUCGCUGUUUGCGAUAUACAGUAAGCGGCCAAGCGAAAGCAUUAAGUAUUCCACCUGGGGAGUACGCCGGCAACGGUGAAACUCAAAGGAAUUGACGGGGGCCCGCGCAAGCGGAGGAACAUGUGGUUUAAUUCGAUGAUACGCGAGGAACCUUACCCGGGCUUAAAUUGCAUUUGAAUAAUCUGGAAACAGGUUAGCCGCAAGGCAAAUGUGAAGGUGCUGCAUGGUUGUCGUCAGCUCGUGCCGUGAGGUGUCGGCUUAAGUGCCAUAACGAGCGCAACCCUUAUCUUUAGUUACUAACAGGUUAUGCUGAGGACUCUAGAGAGACUGCCGUCGUAAGAUGUGAGGAAGGUGGGGAUGACGUCAAAUCAGCACGGCCCUUACGUCCGGGGCUACACACGUGUUACAAUGGGGGGUACAGAAGGCAGCUACCUGGCGACAGGAUGCUAAUCCCAAAAACCUCUCUCAGUUCGGACUGGAGUCUGCAACCCGACUCCACRAAGCUGGAUUCGCUAGUAAUCGCGCAUCAGCCACGGCGCGGUGAAUACGUUCCCGGGCCUUGUACACACCGCCCGUCAAGCCAUGGGAGCCGGGGGUACCUGAAGUGCGUAA